rnacentral:rRNA from 1 species
UACAGAGGGUGCGAGCGUUAAUCGGAAUUACUGGGCGUAAAGCGUGCGUAGACGGUUAUUUAAGUCGGGCGUGAAAGCCCCGGGCUCAACCUGGGAAUUGCAUUCGAGACUGAAUAGCUAGGGUACGGUAGAGGGAAGUGGAAUUUCCGGUGUAGCGGUGAAAUGCGUAGAGAUCGGGAGGAACACCAGAGGCGAAGGCGGCGACCUGGACAGGUACUGACACUCAACUACGAAAGCGUGGGGAGCAAACAGG